rnacentral:rRNA from 1 species
UACGAAGGGGGGCUAGCGUUGCUCGGAAUCGACUGGGCGUAAAGGGUGCGUAGGCGGGUCUUUAAGUCAGGGGUGAAAUCCUGGAGCUCAACUCCAGAACUGCCUUUGAUACUGGAGCUUGAGUCCGGGAGAGGUGAGUGGAACUGCGAGUGUAGAGGUGAAAUUCGAUAGAUAUUCGCAAGAACACCAGUGGCGAAGGCGGCUCACUGGCCCGGUACUGACGCUGAGGUGCGAAAGCGUGGGGAGCAAACAGG